ensembl:lncRNA PKD2L2-DT PKD2L2 divergent transcript
GUCGUCAGCGCGGCUGCGCCGCAGGAGCCCGGGAGGCCUUUCGCCCGAGGCGGGCUGCGGGCUGCUGGGGUCUGGUGCGGAGGGCCAACUUCUGGGAAUAACCUGGCUGUGGGCUUAAAAAUCGUAGUCAUUCAUUAUCACGGGCUUCUCUCUCUCGAAUACCUUUAACAUUUAUCGCCUUGUUAGUCUCCACAUCCACCUCCGUGAAAGAGAUGGAGUCUCGCUAUAUUUCCCAGUCUGGCCUCAAACUCCUGAUCUUAAGGGAUCCCCAGCUCAACCUCUCCCAGCAGCUGGGACUACCGGGCUGUCAAAUUUACAUUAACUAUGAGAAUUAAGCAGGUAAUCUCUAGAGACUAUUCUUAUUCCUUUGAGCAUAACAGACUGAAAAAUCCUGAAGAAUUAGAAACCUGUUUGGUUAAAACAAAAUCACAAAUUCAGUAGAUUCAGUCAUGAUUUAAGUUCUUGUGAUUGCCUUUGAAGUGCAAACCAUGGCAAGUCUAGCUUAGUUUCUAGAGGAAUUGGCUGAGCUGUAAGUGAGCUUCACACUGUUCUAGAAUAUAACAUUGCUCUUUUGGAACUUGUUAUUCAUAGGUUUUGCUGAGUGGAGUUUUAUUUUACAGAUCUAGACUUUUGUGAAGAGGAGACAGUCCGUUUUAAAUAUUUGAAUUUUAUUUUCUUUUGACAUACAACUGUGGAACACUCAGAUAAUCUAUACCAUGUUAGUAUUCCUACAAGAGAAAACGGGUAAAACAGUAUUUAGAAAGCAGUACCAGUAAACGUUAUUACAAGCAUUAGAUGUGUUUAAAAAGUUGAUACUAAUUUAUAACCUGUAAUUGUUAAAUGUGCAUGACUUAAAUGUUAAAAUCCUGUAUUUUAAGAUAGUCUUCUGCAGUUACAAAUCCAUAUACCCAGAUUUCCUGUAGGCUUCACAAAUCGGAGGGGUACAUAGAAUGUGCAAGAGUCAAAGGAUAAAUAAUAUUAUAAAUAUAUAUUAACUAUAUUACCUAAUUAAAACCAUAAUCUGUUAAUACAGCUAUGGAUUAAUUUCAAAAAAAUGUAAUCAAAUAUAUUACUAAUGGUGUAGUUGGCUGUUUUCCAAUGUUGGUAAAGUUAUUAAAGUUCUUCACUUUCAUAGAGUCCAGAUUGAGCUGCCAAACGCUGAAAUUCUCCUUCUGGGUUAAAAGCUUGUUUUACAUUCAAACCUUUCCCAUUAAGUGCUAAAUAUUUGCUGAAUGUUGGUCGAACCCGUAACUGCUUAGGAGCUGGAAGAGUUUGGUUUGGACGUGCUGAAAUAGAUCACAUAAAAGUUGAUUCAGAAAACCUGUUCUAACCAAAUUGGUCACACUAGGUAUUUAUUAUCAGACAGGAAAAGAAAAAAGAACCAAAACUGAUUAUAUAUGGGGAAAAUAUCUCAAAUUUUAUACUCUGCUGGGAUUUUCAUUUCUUAUUAAAUCUUCCUAGUUAAAUCCCUUAUAAUACUUUGGUUAAUAGUAUGACAUACCCGUAACGUCUAAUCUUGUGUUACAUGUAGUCACUCCAGCUUCAUUAACUGCUGACACAGUAUACCACCCAGCAUCUUUCUUGUUUACAUCUUUUAUCAGUAAAGUAACUCUUCCAGUGUUAUCUUGAUAUAAGCUGAAAUAAAAAUUUUUAAGAAAUGAAAGUACAGGAAUUAUUUCUGUGAAGUGGAUGUCUCUGACCAACAGUCAGACUAGGAAGAAAAAAACAUUUGAAAAUUCCAAAGCUGUAUCUAUUUAUUGCCAAAUAGCUAUUGGUUUUCUUGAAUUAAACAUCCCCCCUUGGGUGCUGUCUCCCUCUGCUCUUCAAUCUGUCCCCUGAUGGUCCCUGUCAUUCACUCGGGUGUGUCUGUGUUUGUAUUUAUGCGUAUGUAUAGGGGAAUGGAGGGGUCCUGACCUGUUCCGUUAUCUGUCUCCUACCUCCUCCUUUGUU